rnacentral:rRNA from 1 species
AUUGAACGCUGGCGGCAGGCCUAACACAUGCAAGUCGAACGAGCGGCGGACGGGUGAGUAAUGUAUGGGGAUCUGCCUGAUAGAGGGGGAUAACUACUGGAAACGGUGGCUAAUACCGCAUACCAUCGGAUGUACCCAUAUGGGAUUAGCUAGUAGGUGGGGUAAAGGCUCACCAAGGCGACGAUCCCUAGCUGGUCUGAGAGGAUGAUCAGCCACACUGGAACUGAGACACGGCCCAGACUCCUACGGGAGGCAGCAGUGGGGAAUAUUGCACAAUGGGCGCAAGCCUGAUGCAGCCAUGCCGCGUGUAUGAAGAAGGCCUUAGGGUGGUAAAGUACUUUCAGCGGGGAGGCGUUACCCGCAGAAGAAGCACCGGCUAACUCCGUGCCAGCAGCCGCGGUAAUAC